rnacentral:tRNA from 1 species
GCCCCUGUAUCCCAAUUGGCAGAGGAAACGGAUUCAAAAUCCGUGUAGUGUCAGUUCGAGUCUGACCAGGGGCA